GACGAACCGUGCGAACGUUAUUCGGAAUCACUGGGCUUAAAGCGCGUGUAGGCGGGACGGCACGUCGGUCGCUGAAAGCCCCCCCGGCUCAACCGGGGAACGGGCGCCGAUACGACCGGCCUGGAGGGACGUAGGGGGGACCUGGAACUUCCGGUGGAGCGGUGAAAUGCGUUGAGAUCGGAAGGAACGCCCGUGGCGAAAGCGAGGUCCUGGACGUUUCUGACGCUGAGACGACGAAAGCCAGGGGAGCGAACGGG
rnacentral:rRNA from 1 species